CUACACGGACCCUUCUAUGAUAAAAGCACUGAAACUAAAGCAAACAGUGGAAGAAAGAUUGCUACUAUAAUAUACACAAGCAUUUUUAGAGAAAUAAGCAAAAAUUCAGGCAGAUAUUACCGUGUAUUUCUGUAAAGUUACACUGAGUGUGUCUGCCUCUUCCGCCUCCCCUUCCACCUCCUCCACUUCUUCUGUCUCUGCCACCCCAAGACAAGAGCAACUCCCCUUUUUCCUCUUCCUCCUCAGUCUACUCAGUGUGAAGAUAACAAGGAUCAAGAUCUUUAUUAAAAUGAUACACUUCCACUUGACCAAUAGUAAGUAUAUUUUCUCUUGUGAUUUUCUUAGUAACAUUUUUUCUCUAGCUUACUUUAUUACAAAAUACAGCAUAUAAUAUACACAACACACAAAAUAUUUGUUAUUCAGCUGUUUAUGUUGUAGGUAAUAUUUCCAGUCAACAGUAGGCUAUUAGUAGUUGUUUUGGAGAAGUCAAAAGUUAUACACAGAUUUUCGACUGGGCAGGGGGUCAGUGACCCUAACCCCCACAUUCAAGGCUCAAUUGUGUGUAUAUAUACACAGAGCAUAGUCCUCACCUAAUGCCAUGGAUAGAUUCUUGGAAAUUGUGACUUCAAGCAAAAUGAUGCAUAACGAAACCAACUUUACUAUAGGCUAAUUGAUAACAGCAAGAGUCAAGUUCCUAUCGCAUAUAUCUGUCAGAAAAAGAUAAAACACUUCUGAUAUAAAACAUUAAAAUGAAUUUGAGCUAUAUGUACAUUUAAGGAAAAUUAAUAAAAAGCAGGAUAAUGAUAUACCCAAUUAUUGCACUUCAGGUUCGUGGGUGGCUGGAGUCGAUCCCAGCAGCUAAGGAUGCAAGGCAGGAAUUUAACCCCUAGCAGAACGCCAUCCCAUGGCAGGAUGCACUUACAGACACCCACAUUCACUCACACUGGGCAAUUUGCACAUGCCGAUUAACCAAAUACGCACCGCUUCGUGAUGUGGGAGGAAACUGGAGUACUUGGAGAAGACCCACACAAACAUGGGGAGAACGUGAGAACUUCACAUAGACGGGGGACCCUAUCAGGAAUCAUUUAUUUUUCUCAUCAAUGUUAUAAAGAAAUGUUGCUAGUCAAAGACCUGACAUAUACAUAUAUGGUUUAUAUACAUACAUACAUAACUGUUUAUCCAUAUAUAAGUAUAUGGAAAA
rnacentral:lncRNA from 1 species